UCCUACGGGACGCAGUAGGGAAUAUUGCACAAUGGGCGAAAGCCUGAUGCAGCAACGCCGCGUGAGCGAUGAAGGCCUUCGGGUCGUAAAGCUCUGUCCUCAAGGAAGAUAAUGACGGUACUUGAGGAGGAAGCCCCGGCUAACUACGUGCCAGCAGCCGCGGUAAUACGUAGGGGGCUAGCGUUAUCCGGAAUUACUGGGCGUAAAGGGUGCGUAGGUGGUUUCUUAAGUCAGAGGUGAAAGGCUAAGGCUCAACCGUAGUAAGCCUUUGAAACUGGGAAACUUGAGUGCAGGAGAGGUGUGUG
rnacentral:rRNA from 1 species